GACGAAGGGGGCUAGCGUUGUUCGGAAUUACUGGGCGUAAAGCGCGUGUAGGCGGUUGCCCAAGUCAGGGGUGAAAGCCUUGAGCUCAACUCAAGAAAUGCACUUGGUACUGGGUGGCUAGAGGACCGGAGAGGAUAGUGGAAUUCCCAGUGUAGUGGUGAAAUACGUAGAUAUUGGGAAGAACACCGGUGGCGAAGGCGGCCAACUGGACCACAACUGACGCUGAGGCGCGAAAGCGUGGGGAGCAAACAGG
rnacentral:rRNA from 1 species